rnacentral:rRNA from 1 species
UACGGGGGGAGCAAGCGUUGUUCGGAUUUACUGGGCGUAAAGGGCGCGUAGGCGGCGCAACAAGUCACUUGUGAAAUCUCCGGGCUUAACCCGGAGCGGCCAAGUGAUACUGUCGUGCUAGAGUGCGGAAGGGGCUACUGGAAUUCUCGGUGUAGCGGUGAAAUGCGUAGAUAUCGAGAGGAACACCAGUGGCGAAGGCGGCUAGCUGGCCUGUAACUGACGCUGAGGCGCGAAGGCUAGGGGAGCGAACAGG